ACGCUGGCGGCAGGCCUAACACAUGCAAGUCGAGCGGUAGAGAGAAGCUUGCUUCUCUUGAGAGCGGCGGACGGGUGAGUAAUGCCUAGGAAUCUGCCUGGUAGUGGGGGAUAACGUUCGGAAACGGACGCUAAUACCGCAUACGUCCUACGGGAGAAAGCAGGGGACCUUCGGGCCUUGCGCUAUCAGAUGAGCCUAGGUCGGAUUAGCUAGUUGGUGGGGUAAUGGCUCACCAAGGCGACGAUCCGUAACUGGUCUGAGAGGAUGAUCAGUCACACUGGAACUGAGACACGGUCCAGACUCCUACGGGAGGCAGCAGUGGGGAAUAUUGGACAAUGGGCGAAAGCCUGAUCCAGCCAUGCCGCGUGUGUGAAGAAGGUCUUCGGAUUGUAAAGCACUUUAAGUUGGGAGGAAGGGUUGUAGAUUAAUACUCUGCAAUUUUGACGUUACCGACAGAAUAAGCACCGGCUAACUCUGUGCCAGCAGCCGCGGUAAUACAGAGGGUGCAAGCGUUAAUCGGAAUUACUGGGCGUAAAGCGCGCGUAGGUGGUUUGUUAAGUUGGAUGUGAAAUCCCCGGGCUCAACCUGGGAACUGCAUUCAAAACUGACUGACUAGAGUAUGGUAGAGGGUGGUGGAAUUUCCUGUGUAGCGGUGAAAUGCGUAGAUAUAGGAAGGAACACCAGUGGCGAAGGCGACCACCUGGACUAAUACUGACACUGAGGUGCGAAGCGUGGGGAGCAAACAGGAUUAGAUACCC
rnacentral:rRNA from 1 species